GACGAACCGUGCGAACGUUAUUCGGAAUCACUGGGCUUAAAGCGCGUGUAGGCGGGCCGCCCCGUCGGCUGCUGAAAUCCCCCGGCUCAACCGGGGAACGGGCACCGAUACGAGCGGCCUGGAGGGGGGUAGGGGGGUCUGGAACUUCCGGUGGAGCGGUGAAAUGCGUUGAGAUCGGAAGGAACGCCCGUGGCGAAAGCGAGGCCCUGGACCCUUACUGACGUUGAGACGCGAAAGCCAGGGGAGCGAACGGG
rnacentral:rRNA from 1 species